ensembl:snoRNA SNORD116 Small nucleolar RNA SNORD116
AGCUCAGUAAAGACUAAGCCCCACAUGCAUUCCUUGGAAAAUCUGAACAAAAUGAGUGAGAACUCACUACCGUCUCCUCAUCGAAACUGAGGUCC